rnacentral:miRNA from 1 species
AAAUGUUGUAAAAUGCGGUAAUAUAGCCUUGCGAAGUUUGCCGUUUUUCAGUCAUUUUGCAUUACGCAUGGGAAAUUGACAUACCAAUACCCUUUGGGUCUGUCAAUUUCCCGUUUGUAAUACAAAAUGACUGAAAAACGGCAAACUUCGCAAGGCUAUAUUAUCCGCAUUUUACAAUGGAAAU